GCCGGGUGCGGUGGCUCACGCCUGUAAUCCCAGCACUUUGAGAGGCGAAGGUGGGCGGAUCACAAGGUCAGUAGAUCGAGACCAUCCUGGCCAACAUAGGGAAACCCCGUCUCUACUAAAAAAUACAAAAAUUAGCUGGGCGUGGUGGCAUGCAUCUGUAAUCCUGGCUACGCAGGAGGCUGAGGCAGGAGAACCACNNNNNNNNNNGUGGUUCUCCUGCCUCAGCCUCCUGCGUAGCCAGGAUUACAGAUGCAUGCCACCACGCCCAGCUAAUUUUUGUAUUUUUUAGUAGAGACGGGGUUUCCCUAUGUUGGCCAGGAUGGUCUCGAUCUACUGACCUUGUGAUCCGCCCACCUU
rfam:Chlorocebus sabaeus isolate 1994-021 chromosome X, whole genome shotgun sequence.